AAUAGGUAUGCUUAGGGAGGAGCUUGCGUCACAUUAGUUAGUUGGUGGGGUAAAGGCCUACCAAGACUAUGAUGUGUAGCCGGGCUGAGAGGUUGAACGGCCACAUUGGGACUGAGACACGGCCCAAACUCCUACGGGAGGCAGCAGUAGGGAAUUUUCGGCAAUGGAGGAAACUCUGACCGAGCAACGCCGCGUGAACGAUGAAGUAUUUCGGUACGUAAAGUUCUUUUAUUAGGGAAGAAUAAAUGAUGGAAAAAUCAUUCUGACGGUACCUAAUGAAUAAGCCCCGGCUAACUAUGUGCCAGCAGCCGCGGUAAUACAUAGGGGGCAAGCGUUAUCCGGAAUUAUUGGGCGUAAAGGGUGCGUAGGCGGUUAAAUAAGUUUAUGGUCUAAGUGCAAUGCUUAACAUUGUGAUGCUAUAAAAACUGUUUAACUAGAGUAAGAUAGAGGCAAGUGGAAUUCCAUGUGUAGUGGUAAAAUGCGUAAAUAUAUGGAGGAACACCAGUAGCGAAGGCGGCUUGCUGGGUCUUUACUGACGCUGAGGCACGAAAGCGUGGGGAGCAAACAGGAUUAGAUACCCUGGUAGUCCACGCCGUAAACGAUGAGUACUAAAUGUUGGGUAAAACCAGUGUUGAAGUUAACACAUUAAGUACUCCGCCUGAGUAGUACGUACGCAAGUAUGAAACUUAAAGGAAUUGACGGGACUCCGCACAAGCGGUGGAUCAUGUUGUUUAAUUCGAAGGUACCCGAAAAACCUCACCAGGUCUUGACAUGCUUCUGCAAAGCUGUAGAAACACAGUGGAGGUUAUCAGUUGCACAGGUGGUGCAUGGUUGUCGUCAGCUCGUGUCGUGAGAUGUUGGGUUAAGUCCCGCAACGAGCGCAACCCUUAUUGUUAGUUGCCAGCACGUAAUGGUGGGGACUUUAGCAAGACUGCCAGUGAUAAAUUGGAGGAAGGUGGGGACGACGUCAAAUCAUCAUGCCCCUUAUGACCUGGGCUACAAACGUGAUACAAUGGCUGUUACAAAGGGUAGCUGAAACGCAAGUUUUUGGCGAAUCUCAAAAAAACAGUCUCAGUUCGGAUUGAAGUCUGCAACUCGACUUCAUGAAGUGGAAUCGCUAGUAAUCGCG
rnacentral:rRNA from 2 species